CUCGCCCGUGUUAUACUCAACAGACUCCCGUCAUCUGAUUCAGAGCAGAACCUGCCUGAAUCACAAUGUGGCUUCUGACCAGAUCGCAGCACCAUCAACAUGGUCUUCACGGUGAGGCAAAUGCAGGAAAAAUGCCUUGAGCAGAACCUGAGUCUCUACAUUGUCUUCAUAGACCUGACAAAGGCGUUCGACACAGUGAACAGGGACGCAUUGUGGGUGAUCCUCAGCAAGCUCGGUUGCCCAGCAAAAUUCGUCAAACUGAUCCAUCUCUCUCAUGUCGACAUGACAAGGGAAGUCCUAUCUGGUGGAGAGACUUCUGAUCACUUCAACAUCUCCAAUGGCUUGAAACAAGGCUGUGUCCUCGCUCCGGUACUAUUCAACCUAUGCUUCACCCAAGUAUUACGACAUGCUGUGAUGGAUCUAGACCUGGGCGUCUACAUCAAAUACCGACUGGAUGGCUCACUAUUUGACCUUCGCUGCCCGACUGCAAAAACAGAGACAGCAGAGAGACUCAUCCUGGAAGCUCUCUUCGCAGAUGACUGUGCUCUCAUGGCCCACCAAGAAAAUCAUCUCCAAACCAUUGUGGACAGGUUCUCUACCGCAACAAAACUGUUUGGCCUGACUAUCAGCCUCAGCAAAACAGAGGUGCUGUUCCAACCUGCACCAGGGAGGCCAACGAACCAGCCGUGCAUUACCAUCGAUGGCACGCAGCUUUCUAACGUCAACACUUUCAAGUACCUGGGCAGCACCAUCGCCAACGACGGGUCCCUAGACCACGAGAUCAAUGCCAGGAUCCAAAAGGCCAGCCAGGCACUCGGGCGGCUGUGCUCCAAAGUCCUCCAACACAGCGGUGUAAGCACUGUGAUGAAGCUCAAAGUGUACAACGCAGUGGUCCUCAGCUCACUCCUGUAUGGUUGUGAGACAUGGACACUGUACCGGAAGCACAUGAAACAGCUGGAGCAAUUCCACCAACUCUCUCUCCAGUCAAUCAUGAGGAUCCGAUGGCAGGACCGAAUCACCAACCAGGAAGUCCUCGACAGAGCCAACUCCACCAGCAUCGAAGUCCUGGUCCUCAAAGCCCAGCUACGAUGGUCUGGACACGUCAUCCGCAUGGACCCACAGCGAAUACCAAGACAGGUAUUCUAUGGUGAAC
ensembl:lncRNA